UCGAUGACCUCUCGAGGUCCCUUCCAGUCCUAGAAUCUAUGAAUUUAAAAUUGAUAACUGACUAUUCCUCAACUUCAUGAGUUGACAUAUCUGAUGCCAGUUUUUACAUUACUGGAAGAGUAUGCCACAGAUAAUUGUGGGAGGGUGCCAACAAGUCUGAAAUUAGAACUAUUUCCUAUUAAGGGACAUUUGAGUAAAACAAGAUGGGAGUCCUAUGAUAAUUGAAAAAGUGUCAUAUAAAGAUUUUCUAGACCUGGAAGGUCUCACUCAUGUUUGGGUGAGGAAAAUGCGUUCAUUUGGGAUUCAUUUUAAAGACUAAAGACUUUUCCUGUGUGUGUUUCAAUGAGACUUUUAAACUCAUAGUCCCAGUGCUAGUCAGAACCCAUUUAAUGGGGCUUCAUUUGAACACUAAAGUCCACCCAAAUGCAAGAUCAAGGCUUAACAUAUCACUGCUUUUAAAUUCUCCUCACUUAAAUUGUCACAGCCUGACAUAGUUUUCUCAGUACCUACCAGGCUGGAUCUAAAGCCCACUGAAAUCAACAGAAAGAAUUCCAUUGACUGCAAUGGGCCUUUAAUUCAGAUUCAGCUUUAGAUCCUGUGGUGACCCCAUCAAGAUAGGGAUUCUUCUAGUGGUCUCACUAAGGAUAAAAUAUUGCAAAGGUUUUUCAAGGCAUCUUUCUCCAAACUUUGGGUGCCCCUCACCCCUCAGGCUGCGCUUGUCCAUCAUGGUUGUGAAUUAAUGUUACCCUGUUACUCUGUGAACCUUUAACCUUUAUUUGGCAUUGUCAUACACCUAGCUAUAACAACGUAUCUGAAAAAGAAGCAAAAUAUUUAUUCCUAAGGGGUAAAUCCACACACCAGCAAUCAGCCCAAGUGUCUGAGCUGGAUGCUUGGUCCAUCCUCAGGGGAAAAGCAUACUUCCCCCCAGGGAGGAAAGACCAACAAAUGACCCAUAUAGAUCUGCAGAUCCUCCAGUCCUACUGCCAGCCUGCCCUAACACACCCUCUGCACUGCUUUCUAUUCUAUACAUGUCCUUAUACUGCCCUCAUUGCCUUAGCACCUUCCAGUAGCGCAUUAAGUGAUAUGACUAAUAUCUGUCAUGUGUGGUUUGUUGUUUCUCUUAUCCCUUCCUCAGGAAAAAGGUUCCCUACCGUGGAUACUCCUGUGGGCCCUUUCUUCCAAAACCCUGCCCCAUGCUGCACUGCAACUAUACUAUUUUCAUUGUCAUGAGGCCCUCCACACCUGCUGAGGUACUGGAGUCUGAAGGACUUAGACACAUGGUUGCAUAUUUACCUGAGCAUCCAUUGUGACAUCAAGAUUUUGGCAGGAUGUCACUAUGCUCAUAGGUCAACACUGCUGUUUCCCCAAAGGGCUCUGUGGUGCCUUAAUUUGCAAGACACAAGGUGUGGGUGAGAGAGACACAGGGAGAGGUGUGCACACACACAGGUUUUGCACUGGUCUAGCUCCAGGGGCAUUCUGUCUGGGGACAUAGACACUGGAAUGAGUGUGCUGGAAAGCAGUACUGGCCAUUUUUUCAAGCUGGAGCAUGUGCUUCACCUCACAGCUGCUGCAGUCUGCUAGCCUGUGCAGAAGAGGAGUAAGGCCAGGGCACUCAAACUAACAGCCCUGUAGUUUAAACAGCAGGACACUGGCCACAAGGCAUUCUCAGUAAGGGGUCCAUGAAUUAGAACUUAUUUCCUUCUUUAGUCCACCAGAGUCCAGAUUUGGGGCCCUCUUGGUAUGCAGCAAGAUGAAUCUAUUUUCCCCCCCAAAAAAUGUUGGAGAUGGGAAGGUGGUUUGGGGAAUAGAGGGAUGUUCAGGCCUGGAUUAACCAAUCUGCACUCAGUUUACUUGCACUGGACCCCUGAUCUCAAGGAGGCCCUGACCAGCUUUGGGCCUAGGGUUGCCACUUGGUCUGUUUUUAAAGGGCCUGGACAGUUUUUCUCCUUCAUUGCUGGUUACAAUGUUUCUUUUUUCCCUACUUGUAAUUUACAAGUUAUUUGUAAGUUACAAGUCAGUAACUUCUCCCUCCCCAUUGCAACCAGCAACAGCUGCUGUGCACACAAGGAGGGUUGGGGGGAUGCACUAGCAGCUACUUUCACUAUAGCAUGCAGGUCACAUGACUGCUGGGAGCACUCCUAGAGUGGCACCCGCAUUCCGCUCCAUACGCCAGGCCCUCAACCUGCUGGCACGAUAGCUAAGACGCUUGCUCCUCUCCUUGCCGGAAAGCAGGAUGCACCCUGUAAUGGCAUGCUAAAUUGUAUUAUACUUUUCAGCCACGUGUAAUAUACCUUAACAAGCUCGCAACAGCUGAGCCAUUCUUGGCAGUACAUUAAAGGAUCUUAUUGCGAACAGAGCUGAGAGGGAAGCUCUGUGACCAGUCCAUAUCUGGUACAGAAACCUGACCUGUUAGUAGCAGCCAUGCAACCUACUGUUUAUAAGGUGUACAUGACAUGGAGUCAGAAGCAAACUAGUGCCAGAGAGAACAGAAACAGAAGGAACAAAGUAACAAAGGUUGCAGACAGAAGGAGGGGAAAAAGCAACAAAUUUUGCAAGAUUUCAUCAACAUCCCUCUGUUCAGUGCCACAGAGAACUUCAGCUGUGAUAAACCUUUCCAAUGGAGAGACUGCAAACAGUAUUUUGCAAGAUUUCACAUUACAACCAAACUCCAAAAGGAAACUAGAAAUAUUCAGCUCCAGUUCUCAAGUACUAUGAUGUGAACAACCCACAAUGGCCAGCAAGGAUGCAAGCAGCUACGGCCUAGGUGGUGUACUGUGUUGCCUCUGCACAGGAGGCCAUCAAAGGCCACGCACCAGCUGCGCAGCCGUGCACAUAGGGAAGUUUUCCCAUGACUUUCUCACGUAAUCCGACUAAGUCACAAUGGCUCCCAGAUCUCAGCAUUACCUCGAUAUUGAUGCUGCACAUAACCAAAUUCAUUCUGCACAUGGAUGGAAAAAAAUAGAGGGAACACUAGUGGUGUAGUGUUGCAACAACAUUGAUUUGAGUUAAAGCCAACUGUAUUUUGCUCUCAUACACUCGCAGAAGCAUAAAAAUAAUAUGGACAUAUUGAAAAAGGAGUGCCUGGCAAGCAUAUGGGCACGUGAGAACUUUUUUACAUAUAUCAGUAUUGAUUAGACUCUUAUACAUUGAUAACAGACCAUAUACUGCUUUAAUCCUCAUCAAUGGAAAAGUCCUGAAUCAAACACCACUGAGACACCAAUGUCUUUUGAUAAGAUUAAUGUGAUUUAACCCAUUUGCUAAAUACACCUCUACCCCGAUAUAACACUGUCCUCGGGAGCCAAAAAAUCUUACCGCGUUAUAGAUGAAACCGCGUUAUAUCGAACUUGCUUUGAUCUGCCGGAGUGUGCAGCCCCGGAGCACUGCUUUACCGCGUUAUAUCCAAAUUUGUAUUAUAUCAGGUUGCAUUAUAUCAGGGUAGAGAUGUAUGUUGCUGGGAAAAUCUGGUGGUAGCAGACACUGUCAUGGAGCCCAGUAUCUCAUUCAACUACCUGUGAACUAGAAGAUGAUGUAAAGCGUACAUGGAUGAUGUGGACACAUACAGACCAGGGUCAGAAAAGAGACCGCACCAGCUACAACAAGCAACCUACACACACACACACACACACACCCUUUUAAGAAGUUCUAAGUUACAUUAGGCUGGCCCAAAUAUCUAAAGGACACUAAGGAAAUGACAAGAGAGUACUUUGUGGUAUGUGAACAAUUAAGCGGUUCAAAUGGACUCCUAAUUAAAGGUGACUGCAUCAUAAUUCCAAAUGAAAUGAGAGGAGGAAUCCUAAAUCUUUAUAUCCUUCAUGGAUCAGGACUAACUAAAUGUCAUGAAUGGGCUAACCAGUCAGUGUGGAGGCUGGGCAUCAGCAAAGACAUAAAGAAUAAAGUAUCUGCAUGUGAACAUUGUUUGCAUUGUGUUGUCUGUUUGUUAGUUCUGCAAUCUUUGAUAACAGCACCUCUACCAGACUGACCAUGGAAGAGACUAGCUGCAGAUUUUCACAAAUUCAGAGGAUAUCAUUACUUGGUAAUAGUGAACUGUUUUUUCAGGCGUAUAUAGAAAUAACAUACUUGAAAGACAUAACAU